rnacentral:rRNA from 1 species
GACGAACGCUGGCGGCGUGCUUAACACAUGCAAGUCGAACGGAAAGGCCCUUCGGGGUACUCGAGUGGCGAACGGGUGAGUAACACGUGGGUGAUCUGCCCUGCACUUUGGGAUAAGCCUGGGAAACUGGGUCUAAUACCGGAUAGGACCACGGCAUUCAUGUGCUGUGGUGGAAAGCUUUUGCGGUGUGGGAUGGGCCCGCGGCCUAUCAGCUUGUUGGUGGGGUAAUGGCCUACCAAGGCGACGACGGGUAGCCGGCCUGAGAGGGUGACCGGCCACACUGGGACGGAGAUACGGCCCAGACUCCUACGGGAGGGAGCAGUGGGGAAUAUUGCACAAUGGGCGCAAGCCUGAUGCAGCGACGCCGCGUGAGGGAUGACGGCCUUCGGGUUGUAAACCUCUUUCGCCAGGGACGAAGCGCAAGUGACGGUACCUGGAGAAGAAGGACCGGCCAACUACGUG